UUAAUCUUCAUCAAAUUUCGACUUUCACCGACUUCUUCCAUCCACGAGUCUCCUUCCACACUUCAAGCAAUUCCUGCGCCAAAAUGCCAAUGAACUUGGACAAAAAUCAAAUAAAAACACACGAUAAUAAACAUGAAUCUAGACAACUAAAUCGCACACAUCAAAGUCCGAAACUUUUUGUUCUAAUUUUUAAAUUAGUCUAAGUUAUUAUCCUAAAAAAACCUCUCAAACUUCGAUGGAUGCUGGAACUUAAAAUAAUUGAACUAUUUAUGUGAGCUCGAAAAAAACUGGUCUACUUUUGCAAACCGCUAGCUCUAAGAAUGUAGCUCGAACGUCUUAUUUUGUCAAACACUUCCCAGGAGCUUACUCGUUGUUUGUGGUUGAAAACUUGCAGGUUUCGAACCCAUUUUUCGCCGUGUUUGUGUUCGUUUUCUUGUCGUCGCAGCUGAAACACGCGCAGGAGGUGUUUGCGUCAGGGGAUUCGAUCAAGACUUGGUGGACGGAGCAGAGGGUGUGGAUGAUGAAAUCAUUGACAUCUUUCUUCUUUGCUGCCUUGAACGCGAGUUUGGAGAAGGUCGGAUUGAUCAAGGCUAGCUUUGUCCCAACAAACAAAGUGACCGACGAUGAAGUGGAGAAGCUCUAUCAAAUGGGGAAAUACGACUUCCAAGCACCACCUCUCUUCAUGCUCAUAUUGUGCACCCUUUACUUGCUUAAUCUUGCUUCCUUCGUCGUCGGAUUUGUGAAGAUUUUGCAGAAUGGGAAGAUGAUGAAUGAGAUGGUGAUGCAGGCUUUUCUACCAUUGUUUGGCGUAGUUCUGCAUUUGCCUUUGAUGGAAGGGAUGGUGUUGAGGAAGGAUAAAGGCCGAGUUUCGCCGCCGGUGGCGCUUCUUUCAGCUGUAAUUUCCUCUCUAGUUUUGGCUUAUGCAGCCCUUGUUCAUUAAUAUCAUGCAAGCUAGUGUAUGCUUUGGUUAUUUGUUGUCUCGUUACGGGGUGUUAACUUUGGAGGAUUAGUCUAUAAUAAGGUUAAUCUCCUUUUAUCUUGAUGAAUUGGAACUUUAAGAUAAGACCCUUGAUUAUUUUUAUCAUUUAAGUUAAUUUUGUUUGAUUUUUAUUCCAUCGAAAUGCUAGGAUUAGAGAAUUUCUAGUCUUUGUGAUAAAAAAUACUCAAUCAUGCAUUUUAUUCAUUUUAUAUUGUGUUUUAAUAUAUUCAUCCAAUUAGAAUCUAUAUAUAAUUAUUUUUUAUAUUUAUUUGAAUUACUAAUGGCUUAAUUAAUUCAAAAUCUUCUUAAAUUUCAGUUUUUAGUGAUAAUUAUCAAUUAAGUUCAUUAUGUAUAAAUAAUAUAAUUUUUAAUAAUAACGAUUUAUAUAUAAAAAAAUUAGAAUGUGACACAAUAACACACGAUAAAUUAUGGAAAAUAGGAUCUCCUCCGUUCAACUAACUAGUGCGCCUGAUGGUGUCUCGCACAUCAUGACAUAAUUUAGUACUGCCUCUCUCUAUGAAAAAGAGUUUUAUUUUCCCUCAUUUUUUGUCCACGGAAAAGAGUAAAAAGGAAGUAGGACACUUGUUAUGGGAUGAAGGGAGUAAUAAAUAUUGUACACAAGUAAUAACCUCUGAUCAGGAUCGGUCAUGUAUCUCAUAGAACCCUAAGCAAAAAAUUGAAAAUGGGCUUUUAUAAUUUUCUUUUAUAUUAACGAUACAACAAUAGUAUAUUUCAACCAAUUAUUUAAGAGAGUUUUGAAUCAAUAGAGAAGAAAACAUAAGGUACUAAGAAUUCAACAUUAAUGGUUUGCUCUAAAUGACGAAAAAAAACUUUCAUAAGACGAAGCACUGUAAAUAGUACCUUAUUAAUUAGCAAAAAUAUUUUUAUAUAUAUACUAUUAAUAUAUAUAAAAAAAAAUAGGACCCCAAAAAUUAGGGUCCUAAUAGCGGCAGCAUAUCGAGCAUGUGUUCAGGUACUCGCCUGUCUCUCAUCAAUCAUAAUCUUUUAUAAAUAAACAGCUGUCUCUCACCAACCAUAAUCUUUUAUAAGUAAACAAAUACUCAUAAAGUCAUAAAUAGAACUAGAGCUAGCACUACUAAUCACUGAGGAAGAAAAAAUAAAAAUAAAAAAAUUAAGAGAUGGAGAAAUCACUCCCUCUUCCUCUGAAUGAUUGGCAAGUUCAGAAAAGAAACAGAGCAAUAAACAGGCUCCAUGGUUUCAUCCAUGGCGGUGCCCUAGCUGCCCUAUUUUACUACAGAAUCACAACCAUCGCCGCCAUAGCCAAAAGCAGCAGCUCCAUUCUUCCCCACCUUCUCAUCUUCGCCGCCGAGCUCACUCUCUCAUGCAUGUGGCUGCUCAGCCAGGCUUCGCUGUGGAACCCGGUCACGCGAAACGCCUACCCGGAGAGGCUGCCCGGAGACGAUAAUCUGCCCGCCAUCGACGUGUUCGUGUGCACCGCCGAUCCCGCGAAGGAGCCGAGCUUGGGUGUGAUGAACACCGUGAUAUCGGCCAUGGCGCUCGACUACCCGCCGCACAAGCUCCAUCUCUAUCUCUCCGACGACGGGGGCUCCCCGUCACGCUCCGCGCCCUUAGACGGGCGCGGAGCUUCCGCGAAGCUGUGGAUUCCGUUUUGCAGGAAGUUUGGGGUGAAGAAUAGGUGCCCUCAGGCUUAUUUCUUGAGAGAGGAGAUUGGUGGCAAUGGUGAUCACUUCUUUGUUGAGAAGAAGGCAAUCGAGGUUUGUCUUCUUGCACAAAAAUAGUAAAAUAUAAAUAUACAGUACUCUCUUUAUCUCAUGACCUAAUUUUUUUUAUACAAUUAAUUAUUAAGAAAAAUAAGAUUAUAGUGUAAAGUAUGUGGGCCUCUAAUCUAUUAUAAUAAAAAUUUGUUAAUUACCCAAAAUGGAAAUAUGCCAAGUCGGAUGAAUUGUUCCAAAAAGAAAGUAGGCCAGUGAAGUGGGACGGAGGGAGUAUAUCUCUCUACUGUCGGUGGUCACCAGUUACUCACCCCUUUAUAAUUCUUGAAAAUUGUGGUUUUUCUUAUUUGGAAAUAAUCCCAAAAACUUUCGCAUUGACUAUUUACAAAAAAAUGUGAAAUUCAAUUUCCACUCAAAAAUAUAACCAUAUAUUUUUUUUCUUAAAAAUCAUGCUACUUUCUUCAAACCACAUUUUUAGUGACCGAGGAAUAUCAUCCACAUUAUGGAGAACUAUAUGUAUAAGUCUAUUUCGAUACUUGAAAGUUGAGAUAUAUUUGAUUAUUUGGCAUUUAUUUUUAGUAGCUAAAUGGUAUGUGCGACAUAUUAUGAUGAAGUUAAUUAAUAUAUAGUGCAAUUUUAAAGAAUUUUAUAUAUAAAAUGAAUUCUUUUUUUUAACUAUAUAUAUAUAUAUAAUGAAUUAUAUAUAUGUAUGUACAUACAUUACUAAAUCAUUUUUUGUAAAUUAAAAUAUAUAAGAAUAUUAUUCUUUUAUACAUUAAUACUAAAACCAGCCUGUGUUAAUUACUUCUACUUUGUAUAAUGCAGAAAGCGUACGACGAUUUCAAGAUUUCUUUGGGCAAGAUUGUUGCUGAAGCUGACGUUGGGGCCAGCAGGGACCAUGCACCAAUUAUUGAGGUAUUAAAAAAUUAUUUAAUGUGGUCAAUAGUUUUGUGGUUUGGAAUAAUUAAUUUUUAUAUAAAAAUCUAAUACUAUAAAGUUUUGCUAAACGACGAAGAUCUCCUCGGCAGUUUAUGUUUGUGAGAGUGAGAUAUUGUUUUUUGAAGGGAAACGUUACUAAAGAAUACAUGUGAAUAUUUUGUUAAUUAGAAGAUAAUUAAUGAUUUCCAUAUUUAUUUUAAUAGAUUAUACAAGAGCUGCUGAUUUCACGUGAGUCAAUAAGCACAAUAUAUACAAUUAUACAAAUGUGUGAGUUCAUAAGCGAAAUACAAAAUAAAUUAACACGAAAUCGACAUAUCAUAAAAUUACAGGGUGAUUUUCGUGGGACGGGAUUCAGUGUCUCAUAAUUUUAUAUGGGUCACUAUAUCCCACUAAUAAUAAUAAUAAUAAUAAUAAUAAUAAUAAUAAUAAUAAUAAUAAUAAUAAUAAUAAUAAUAAUAAUAAUAAUAAUAAUAAUAGUAGUAGUAGUAGUAGUAGUAGUAGUAGAUGUGGAGCCAAAGUGCGCACCCAUAUAAUAUAUGUAUGCGAAGAAACUAACCUUAAAAUGAACAUGAAAAAGCCUCUCAUACAAAAACAUGACAAUAAUUUCACUCGAAAUAAAAGAAAACCCAUGUUGCAUAGGUACGGAGGUGCGGAUGCGGGGGCGAUACGAUACGAGUACGAGGAUACGGGUUUUUAAAAAUUAUAGGGUACGAUUCGGCAAUGAUACAUCUAAUUAUUAAAAUUUUAUGAUAUAUAAUGCUUAUAAAAUAAAGAGUUAUAUUUUUACGAUAUGAUAUAAGCAUUUUCAAUUAUAUAAAUUAAUUGAGCAACAAUAUAACGAUUCAAAUAUUAUUAGUCCAAUAUAUAAGUUAUAACUGAAAAUAAAAUUAUCAACAUAGCCUUGUGUAGGCCUUUCGUGCACGAGAUACGUGAAUUUCGCAGAUAAAAUUUGCGAAUCCGGUUUAUUUUUAUAAAUUAUUUUAAAAGAUAAGCAGGGCUAAUCGGGUGCGAAUACGACGAGAAUCCGAGAGAAUCGCAUUCUAAAAGAAUCCGAUUCGUCAUACAUGUUAAUUUUUGAAGAAUCCGUGCACUAUAGAAGAAAACAUGAUCCUUCGACAACAUAAAAAUUUCCUUAAAAAAACCUGAAUCUGUUAUACUUCCUUCGUCCCACGAAGCAUGACGCAGUUUCCUUUUUGUUCUGUCUCACGAAGCAUGACACAUUUCUAAAAAUGACAAAAAAUUUACCUUUUAUUCACAUUUUCACUUUUUCACCUACCAUACUUAACACAUAAAAUACCAAUUUCUUGAUUCUCGUGUCGAAAAGAAGUGUGUCAUACUUCAUGGGAUGAAGGAGGGAGCAUUAAGGGGUGAGAAUUAGGGGCGAGUUACUCAACCAAAAAAAAAAGAAAAAAGAAAAAAAUAACAGAAAGGUGUGAGUAAGGUUGGGCAAUAAUUGGGGCGGGGGAAUAUUCCGGCGGGCGGUGGAGCACUAUGUACAUUGGGCAGUGGCCGCCUUGGGAAGUGAGAAUUCUUUUGACAGCAAUGCUUAUUGUUAUUACUGUCGUCUCUGAUUUUGGUGGGGUUUAAGGGAUCAUUUUCUGCCGCCUGCCCCCCCUCUACACUAGCACUAGCCCCUCCCCAAUUUUCUCACUCUCCCAUUCCUCAUCAUUUUAUUCUAUUCUUUUCUCGUUUUUUUAUUUAUUUAUUUUAUCGUAUUCCUAAAUUUCAAGAACCAUGUUACGCAACUUCUUACCACCAAAAUCCAAAAUACCUCCAUUAAUCAAUACCGCAAAUUAUUGGGUCGCCCCGCGCUCAUGCCCAUUCGCACUCCUGACCCGCACGUUUUUGACUCGCGUUUUAUAUUAUUAUAUUUACUAGUACGCCCGUCUGUGCGAUGCACAGAGAGCAUCAAAAUUGAGCGACAUAUUUUUUAAGUCGUACAAUACACAGAUUAUGAUAUAUUUUUAUUAUAUAUAUAUAUAUAUAUAUAUAUAUAUAUANUUAUUUGUCCUUUAAAAUUUACAAGUAAAUAAUUCAUAUAUAAUUACUUAUUAUUAUUAUUAUUAUUAUUAUUAUUAUUAUUAUUAUUAUUAUUAUUAUUAUAUUUAUUAUUAUUAUUAUUAUUAUUAUUAUUAUUAUUAUUAUUAUUAUAUAAGGUGGAAGAUUUGUUAGGAUCUUCUUUACAGUGAUUGAAACAAUUAAUAAGUCGAAACGUGUAUAGAUCCACGAAUAUGUAUACUACAUGCAAGAUUACGACUUUAAACUCACUCAAUUUAAGUUGGUGUAUUGUUUUUUCCGAAAGGUGAAACAUCUAUUAUUGGAAAGCAUAGAAUAAAAAUCUAUUAAUGCAUGUCUACUUCAAUACAGAUUUUAUUUCACACGUAAAUAAUAUAUGUAUAUAUAUAGAUAUACGUAAUACUCAUCAUCUGGCCCACGAAUCUUGAGUCAAUUUCCUUUUUCGGUCAUCCCACGAAUCUUGAGUCAUUUCUACACGAAUCUUGAGUCAUUUCUACAUGUAGUAAAAAAUGAGAAAAAAAGGGAUUCUAAUUAAACUUAUACUCCCUCCGUCCCACCAUUUUAGUCCCCUCCCACUUUUCACACAUAUUAAGAAAAUGUAUUUAAUUUUUAUAUUUUUAUCUUUUAUACCCUUAUUUAUUAUUUUCACACAUCAUUUUCACAUUUAAGUGAAGCAUUAAAUAAGGUUAAUUUAGUAAAAACAAUAUUUUUAUAUAGUAUUAAUUAGAAAAGUGGACUAUCUUUUUGGGACAUCUCAAAAUGGAAUAAGAGACUAAAAUGGCGGGACGGAGGGAGUAUUAAUUAAUAAAAUUGCGUACUUCCAAUUAAUAAUCAACGGCUAAUAUUGACAGGUGAUCAGCGAUGCAAAUUCCAACGGUACGGAUUCGAGCAGCAAUGAAGAGAUGCCGUUUGUCGUUUACGUUGCUCGCGAAAAACGGCCAUCUCACCCCCACAAUUUCAAAGCAGGGGCCCUCAACGUUCUUGUAAUUAAAUUCACACACAUAAUAUUCCUAAAUCUUUUAAUAUUCAGUUUUUUAUCCCAUUAUCUUAAGUUUAUAAAGUAUGACAUUUUUCAUAUACAACAUCAAAAAUAGGGCAUUUUUGCCUGUUAACACUAUACGAAACCUAUUAACUCUAGGAAUGCAAUAUGUUGAAAUUCAUGGCUUUUAAUUUGUAUAAAAUAAGAGAAGAGAAAGAGAGAUUCAAAGAUAAUAUUUUUUUAAUAUAUUAUGCCUUAUUUUCCCAUGAUAUAUUUAUCGAUAAAAGAGAACACAUUCUUAUGGUACAAUCGAUUCAUAUUUCCAAUAUGCUGAAUUUCUCACUGAUAUUUUUCAUCUCCCAAAUAAAUACGCAUUUGAGAAUGACACGAGUUUCAAAAAAUAAUUGAGUGUGCGAGUAGGGAAUAAGGGUCGUCUCGUUUAUUGUGAGUGGGUAGUGUUCAGUUUCGAGUAUCCAUUUUUAUUGUGAAUGGAUUGUGUGCAGCUCCGAGUAUCGGGCAUGAUCAGCAAAUCGCCGUACAUCUUGACGCUGGACUGCGACAUGUACUGCAACGAUCCGACGUCGGCACGUCAAGCGAUGUGCUUCCAUCUCGACCCUAAACUCUCCGAGAAUCUUGCAUUUGUGCAGUUCCCACAACGAUUUCACAACAUCAGACGCAACCCUGAUAUCUACGAUGGUGCCGUGAGAUUCAUUUGGGUAAGUAAUUAACUAACAAUAUUACAUUUAUCAUGUUACAACUAUGGAUAAUUUUGCAUUAUUUUGAUUAAUUUGCAUUGAUUUCAGAAAAAAUGGGAAGGCUUCAAUGGUCUUCGAGGGCCAGUCUUGUCGGGGACGGGGUUUUAUAUAAAGAGAGAAGCACUCUAUGGAACUCGGAAGCUUCAAUCAAGUAAUGUCACAAAUUUGGCUCAUCACUGCAUUUUGUGUGUGAAAAUUGAGCAACUUGUUCAAUCUCGUAAAUUUAUUCAUCAUAUUUUUUUUAUGUAGCGUAGACUGAUUUGGAAAUUAGGACAAAAACUAAUGGGCUUGCAAAAGCAUAGGACAUUAAUUAAUAAGACAUAAGUGCACUCGCAGAAAAAUUCUCAGCCCAUUUUAAGAGUUUCAGACUUAAUAAUUCCAAACUAAAAUGGGCCGAAAACUAAAUUUUCAAAUUUAUAAAAAUAGGACACUAAUUUAAAUGGGCCGAGAAUUGUCUUAGUGGUGCAAUAUAACUAUACUUUUGCAAAUCCAAUAGGUCACUCUCUGCUGAUUGAUGAGUUAGAGUUUUCAAAUCAGUCUAAGUUGUUGUCCUAAAAACCCUCUAACUCCCAGAAAUCACUAACGGGCUAGAACUAUCAUUAAAUCAAUUUAUGAGACUAAACGAGUGUAUUUUACCUUUUUGGUACCAUCAUUUAUUUGUAUAUUGAUUGAUUUUACACCUCGCUUCUUUUACUUUUUCGAGUAGAUGUUGAUCUUAACGAGCUCAAGAAGUAUUACGGCUCAUCCAACGAGUUCAUCAAGUCGAUUUAUAGAAAUUACAAACUAAAUAGUCGAAGCAAUGCAUUGCUCAACGAUGAGGCAUUCAAGCAAGAGGUGCAAUUGGUAGCUUCAUGUAGCUAUGACAAUGGCUCACAAUGGGGGAAAGAGGCAAGUUCUAAUUUUAUUCCAACUAAUAUUCUAGUUACAAUAAUGAGUUGUAGAGAGAGAUGUUCAAUUAAGAAUACUAAAUGUGUUGAGAAUUGGUAAUUCGUACGAACAAUUGUGAACAAGUUAUUUAUUUUGAUGAGCAAUCGUUUUGGUCCGAGGUUCAAAUUCUGGAGGUGACGAAAUAUUUAAAUAGAUACGUUUGUUCAUCACUUGUAUUGGUAUGUUCGACAAACUUAUCGAUUUUGUUCAUUAUACUUAUUUCUUACGAAAAAUCAAAUUCCAAAUAAAAUCUAACCCUUUAAAUCAAAAUGGAUGCAGGUUGGGUAUAGAUAUUUUGCGGUAGUGGAAGAUUAUUUCACAGGUUUCAAUCUGCAUUGUGAAGGCUGGAUUUCAGUGUAUGUUGAUCCCUCAAGGCCAUGCUUCUUGGGCACAUCUCCUCUAAGCCUAGGCGAAAUUCUUGUGCAAAACACACGAUGGUUUCUUGGAUUAGGUCAGGUUGCUCUGUCCAAAUAUUCUCCCAUGUUCUACGGGGCACUGAGAAUGUCGAUUUUGCAAAGCAUGAUCUAUGCAGAGGUAGCAUGUUAUGCCGUUUACUUCCUUCCCGUUUACAUUCUAGCCCUCGUUCCUCAGCUCUGUCUCGUUCGCGGCGUCCCUCUCUAUCCUGAGGUAUGCAGAGAGUCAAAAUUCAUUUAAGAAUGCUAUAUCAGGAUUGUCCGCAGAAAUAGGUCAAUUUUUUUUCGAACUUGUAGAAUUAUGUUCAUUGUCUUAAAUUUCGGCACUCGUGGGUAACAUUUUGACUCAAUUCAGCAUCCGUGAGACACAUUUGGGCCCAUCUGAAGUGCAAAAUAAUCUCAUUGAGCUCAAAUAUGGCCCACGCGCGGAGUAAGAGGUUUUUUAGGAUAUUGACUUAGACUAAGUUGGUUUGAAUAAAAAAUUUCGAACUUGCAAAAGUACGUAGGACACUAAAUGCAUCCAAAAGACAAUUCUCGGUCCAUUUUAAGAGUUUCUGGCUUAUUUGAAACUAAAAUGAGCUGAAAGUUAAAUUUCCAGGCUUGCAAAAGUAUGACACUAAGGCUCGAGAAUUGUCUUUUACGGGUGCACUACUUAUUAACUAAUGUCCUACACUUGCAAAUCCGAAUUUUUUUUUUGUCCUGAUUUUGAAAUUAGUCCAAGUUAGUGUUCUAAAAAAACCUAUAACUCCCACGGAUGCUGGAAUUUAAAAUAAUUGAGCAAUUUAUGUGAGCUCGAAAAAUUGGUCUAUUUUUGCAAAUCGGGCUCUAGUAGCUUAUUUUUGUCAAACACUUCCCAGGAGCUUACUCGUUGCUUAUGGUUGCAGGUUUCGAGUCCAUUCUUCGCGGUGUUUGUGUUUGUUUUCUUGUCGUCGCAGCUGAAACACGCGCAAGAGGUGUUGGCGUCGGGGGAUUCGAUCAAGACUUGGUGGGCGGAGCAGAGGGUGUGGAUGAUGAAGUCAUUGACAUCUUACUUCUUUGCUGCCGUGAACGCGAGUUUGGAGAAGGUCGGAUUGAUCAAUUCUAGCUUUGUCCCAACAAACAAAGUGACAGACGAUGAAGCAGAGAAGCUCUAUCAAAUGGGGAAAUACGACUUCCAAGCACCACCUCUCUUCAUGCUCAUACUGUGCACACUUUACUUGCUUAAUAUUGCUUCCUUCGUCGUCGGAUUUGUGAAGAUUUUGCAGAAUGGGAAGAUGAUGAAUGCGAUGGUGAUGCAGGCUUUUCUACCAUUGUUUGGCGUAGUUCUGCAUUUGCCUUUGAUGGAAGGGAUGGCGUUGAGGAAGGAUAAAGGCCGAGUUUCGC
rnacentral:lncRNA from 1 species